rnacentral:rRNA from 1 species
AAACCAGCACCUCAAGUGGUCAGGAUGAUUAUUGGGCCUAAAGCAUCCGUAGCCUGUUCUGUAAGUUUUCGGUUAAAUCCAUUAGCUCAACUAAUGGGCUGCCGAAAAUACUGUAGAACUAGGGAGUGGGAGAGGUAGACGGUAUUCGGUAGGAAGGGGUAAAAUCCUUUGAUCUAUUGAGGACCACCUGUGGCGAAGGCGGUCUACCAGAACACGUCCGACGGUGAGGGAUGAAAGCUGGGGGAGCAAACCGGAUUAGAAACCCCAGUAGUCC